GGUUAAGCGACUAAGCGUACACGGUGGAUGCCCUGGCAGUCAGAGGCGAUGAAGGACGUGCUAAUCUGCGAAAAGCGUCGGUAAGGUGAUAUGAACCGUUAUAACCGGCGAUGUCCGAAUGGGGAAACCCAGUGCAAUUCGUUGCACUAUCGUUAACUGAAUACAUAGGUUAACGAGGCGAACCGGGGGAACUGAAACAUCUAAGUACCCCGAGGAAAAGAAAUCAACCGAGAUUCCCCCAGUAGCGGCGAGCGAACGGGGAGCAGCCCAGAGUCUGAAUCAGCUUGUGUGUUAGUGGAACGGUCUGGAAAGUCCGACGGUACAGGGUGAUAGUCCCGUACACCAAAAUGCACAGGCUGUGAACUCGAAGAGUAGGGCGGGACACGUGGUAUCCUGUCUGAAUAUGGGGGGACCAUCCUCCAAGGCUAAAUACUCCUGACUGACCGAUAGUGAACCAGUACCGUGAGGGAAAGGCGAAAAGAACCCCGGCGAGGGAGUGAAAAAGAACCUGAAACCGUGUACGUACAAGCAGUGGGAGCACCUUCGGGUGUGACUGCGUACCUUUUGUAUAAUGGGUCAGCGACUUAUAUUCUGUAGCAAGGUUAACCGUAUAGGGGAGCCGCAGGGAAACCGAGUCUUAACUGGGCGUUAAGUUGCAGGGUAUAGACCCGAAACCCGGUGAUCUAGCCAUGGGCAGGUUGAAGGUUGGGUAACACUAACUGGAGGACCGAACCGACUAAUGUUGAAAAAUUAGCGGAUGACUUGUGGCUGGGGGUGAAAGGCCAAUCAAACCGGGAGAUAGCUGGUUCUCCCCGAAAGCUAUUUAGGUAGCGCCUCGUGAAUUCAUCUUCGGGGGUAGAGCACUGUUUCGGCUAGGGGGUCAUCCCGACUUACCAACCCGAUGCAAACUACGAAUACCGAAGAAUGUUAUCACGGGAGACACACGGCGGGUGCUAACGUCCGUCGUGAAGAGGGAAACAACCCAGACCGCCAGCUAAGGUCCCAAAGUCAUGGUUAAGUGGGAAACGAUGUGGGAAGGCACAGACAGCCAGGAUGUUGGCUUAGAAGCAGCCAUCAUUUAAAGAAAGCGUAAUAGCUCACUGGUCGAGUCGGCCUGCGCGGAAGAUGUAACGGGGCUAAACCAUGCACCGAAGCUGCGGCAGCGACACUAUGUGUUGUUGGGUAGGGGAGCGUUCUGUAAGCCUGCGAAGGUGUGCUGUGAGGCAUGCUGGAGGUAUCAGAAGUGCGAAUGCUGACAUAAGUAACGAUAAAGCGGGUGAAAAGCCCGCUCGCCGGAAGACCAAGGGUUCCUGUCCAACGUUAAUCGGGGCAGGGUGAGUCGACCCCUAAGGCGAGGCCGAAAGGCGUAGUCGAUGGGAAACAGGUUAAUAUUCCUGUACUUGGUGUUACUGCGAAGGGGGACGGAGAAGGCUAUGUUAGCCGGGCGACGGUUGUCCCGGUUUAAGCAUGUAGGCUGGUUGUCCAGGCAAAUCCGGAUAAUCAAGGCUGAGGUGUGAUGACGAGGCACUACGGUGCUGAAGUAACAAAUGCCCUGCUUCCAGGAAAAGCCUCUAAGCAUCAGGUAACAUCAAAUCGUACCCCAAACCGACACAGGUGGUCAGGUAGAGAAUACCAAGGCGCUUGAGAGAACUCGGGUGAAGGAACUAGGCAAAAUGGUGCCGUAACUUCGGGAGAAGGCACGCUGGUGUGUAGGUGAAGCCCCUGCGGGUGGAGCUGAGACCAGUCGAAGAUACCAGCUGGCUGCAACUGUUUAUUAAAAACACAGCACUGUGCAAACACGAAAGUGGACGUAUACGGUGUGACGCCUGCCCGGUGCCGGAAGGUUAAUUGAUGGGGUUAUCCGUAAGGAGAAGCUCUUGAUCGAAGCCCCGGUAAACGGCGGCCGUAACUAUAACGGUCCUAAGGUAGCGAAAUUCCUUGUCGGGUAAGUUCCGACCUGCACGAAUGGCGUAAUGAUGGCCAGGCUGUCUCCACCCGAGACUCAGUGAAAUUGAACUCGCUGUGAAGAUGCAGUGUACCCGCGGCAAGACGGAAAGACCCCGUGAACCUUUACUAUAGCUUGACACUGAACAUUGAGCCUUGAUGUGUAGGAUAGGUGGGAGGCUUUGAAGCGUGGACGCCAGUCUGCGUGGAGCCAACCUUGAAAUACCACCCUUUAAUGUUUGAUGUUCUAACGUUGGCCCCUGACCGGGGUUGCGGACAGUGUCUGGUGGGUAGUUUGACUGGGGCGGUCUCCUCCCAAAGCGUAACGGAGGAGCACGAAGGUUAGCUAAUCCUGGUCGGACAUCAGGAGGUUAGUGCAAUGGCAUAAGCUAGCUUGACUGCGAGCGUGACGGCGCGAGCAGGUGCGAAAGCAGGUCAUAGUGAUCCGGUGGUUCUGAAUGGAAGGGCCAUCGCUCAACGGAUAAAAGGUACUCCGGGGAUAACAGGCUGAUACCGCCCAAGAGUUCAUAUCGACGGCGGUGUUUGGCACCUCGAUGUCGGCUCAUCACAUCCUGGGGCUGAAGUAGGUCCCAAGGGUAUGGCUGUUCGCCAUUUAAAGUGGUACGCGAGCUGGGUUUAGAACGUCGUGAGACAGUUCGGUCCCUAUCUGCCGUGGGCGCUGGAGAAUUGAGGGGGCUGCUCCUAGUACGAGAGGACCGGAGUGGACGCAUCACUGGUGUUCGGGUUGUCAUGCCAAUGGCACUGCCCGGUAGCUAAAUGCGGAAGAGAUAAGUGCUGAAAGCAUCUAAGCACGAAACUUGCCCCGAGAUGAGUUCUCCCUGAGACUUUAAGUCUCCUGAAGGAACGUUGAAGACGACGACGUUGAUAGGCCGGGUGUGUAAGCGCAGCGAUGCGUUGAGCUAACCGGUACUAAUGAACCGUGAGGCUUAACCUU
rnacentral:rRNA from 1 species